GAUCAUGGCUCAGGAUGAACGCUAGCGACAGGCUUAACACAUGCAAGUCGAGGGGCAGCACGGGAGUAGCAAUACAACUGGUGGCGACCGGCGCACGGGUGAGUAACGCGUAUGCAACCUACCUAUCAGAGGGGAAUAACCCGGCGAAAGUCGGACUAAUACCGCAUAAAACAGGGGCACCGCAUGGUGAUAUUUGUUAAAGAGAUUCGCUGAUAGAUGGGCAUGCGUUCCAUUAGGUAGUUGGUGAGGUAACGGCUCACCAAGCCGACGAUGGAUAGGGGAACUGAGAGGUUGGUCCCCCACACUGGUACUGAGACACGGACCAGACUCCUACGGGAGGCAGCAGUGAGGAAUAUUGGUCAAUGGGCGGGAGCCUGAACCAGCCAAGUCGCGUGAAAGGAAGAAGGAUCUAUGGUUCGUAAACUUCUUUUGCAGGGGAAUAAAGUGCAGGACGUGUCCUGUUUUGUAUGUACCCUGAGAAUAAGGAUCGGCUAACUCCGUGCCAGCAGCUGC
rnacentral:rRNA from 1 species